rnacentral:rRNA from 1 species
UUUUUACAAUGGAGAGUUUGAUCCUGGCUCAGGAUGAACGCUAGCGGCAGGCUUAACACAUGCAAGUCGAGGGGCAGCGGGGAUUGUGCUUGCACAAUUUGCCGGCGACCGGCGCACGGGUGCGUA